GAUGAACGCUAGCGGCAGGCCUAAUACAUGCAAGCUGAACGGCAAGAUUUGUAGCAAUACGAGUCCUAGAGUAGCGUAAGGGUGCGUAACACGUAUGCAAUCUGCCCGCAACAGGAGGAUAGCUUAGCGAAAGUUGAGAUAAGACUCCAUAAGAUCACGAGAGGGCAUCUGAUUGUGAUUAAACUACAAGGGGUUGCGGAUGAGCANGCGUCUGAUUAGUUAGUUGGCGGGGUAACGGCCCACCAAGACGAUGAUCAGUAGGGGAACUGAGAGGUUGGUCCCCCACCAC
rnacentral:rRNA from 1 species